UAGUCCACGCCGUAAACGAUGGUCACUAGUUGUUGGACUUAUGUUCAGUGACUAAGCGAAAGUGAUAAGUUGACCCACCUGGGGAGUACGUUCGCAAGAAUGAAACUCAAAGGAAUUGACGGGGGCCCGCGACCAAGCGGUGGAGCAUGUGGUUUAAUUCGAUGAUACGCGAGGAACCUUACCAGGGCUUAAAUGUAAGUUGCAUUAGACAGAGAUGUUUAUUUCUUCGGACUACUUACAAGGUGCUGCAUGGUUGUCGUCAGCUCGUGCCGUGAGGUGUCAGGUUAAGUCCUAUAACGAGCGCAACCCCUAUCGUUAGUUGCUAGCAGGUAAAGCUGAGGACUCUAGCGAGACUGCCGGUGCAAACCGUGAGGAAGGUGGGGAUGACGUCAAAUCAUCACGGCCCUUACGUCCUGGGCUACACACGUGCUACAAUGGUAUAUACANAGGGCAGCUACUUGGCAACAGAUGCGAAUCCUAUAAAGUAUAUCUCAGUUCGGAUC
rnacentral:rRNA from 1 species